AUUGUAAGGAAUCGUACCCCAAACCGACACAGGUGGUCGGGUAGAGAAUACCAAGGCGCUUGAGAGAACUCGGGUGAAGGAACUAGGCAAAAUGGUACCGUAACUUCGGGAGAAGGUACGCUCUUGAUGGUGAAGUCCCUUGCGGAUGGAGCUGACGAGAGUCGCAGAUACCAGGUGGCUGCAACUGUUUAUUAAAAACACAGCACUGUGCAAAAUCGUAAGAUGACGUAUACGGUGUGACGCCUGCCCGGUGCCGGAAGGUUAAUUGAUGGGGUUAGACUUC
rnacentral:rRNA from 1 species